rnacentral:rRNA from 1 species
UACAGAGGUCUCAAGCGUUGUUCGGAUUCAUUGGGCGUAAAGGGUGCGUAGGUGGCGCCGUAAGUCGGGUGUGAAAUUUCGGAGCUUAACUCCGAAACUGCAUUCGAUACUGCGGUGCUUGAGGACUGGAGAGGAGACUGGAAUUCAUGGUGUAGCAGUGAAAUGCGUAGAGAUCAUGAGGAAGACCAGUGGCGAAGGCGGGUCUCUGGGCCAUUACUGACGCUGAGGAGCGAAAGCGUGGGGAGCGAACAGG